GCUCUUAGCUCACUGACAAAGCCUCUGCUUGACAUGCAGGAGGUCCCAGGUUCAAACCCCGGCUUCUCCA
rnacentral:tRNA from 1 species